AAUUUCAACUAUUUUAUCAAAUCAGUCUACAUAAAAAAUAAUUAGAUUCCGGCAACUGGUUCGCAAGACGAGCAACACUGCGUUACUUUAGUUCAUCUUUUAAUUUAUGCUCAAAUAAAUAAGUUUUGGAAUUAAAUUCAUUUGUUAACGAUAGUAGAGAAAUAGCUCAAGUAUUGGGAGGUGGGAAGAUAAGAUUUUGUUUCUGGGUAAGGCAUAGUUGUGGCACACCAUAACUUGGAAUGCUUCAAUGGUGGUAACAUGAGAAUGCUCUAAUGGUGGCCACGCUCUUUCCUUGUUCAUAUUACUUAUUAAAGUUGAAAUCUUGAAACAGCAAGACUAGUGCGUGCUUAGCUCUGUAAUGCGUCAACAGGUGGCUGCUUCUGCCGCCUGCCUGCAACUUUCGCAAGAGUUCCUAAACAAAGGAACAAACAAGCAAAAGGAAGCGUCUUGGUUUUCUUUCUUUUCUUUUUCUAUGUUUCUCACUAUUGGCAUAUUCACCUAACUAUCUACUUUAGCUCUCUUUCAUUCUUUCAAUUCUCAAAUCAGCUCAUUUUCAUUUCUCAAUAACAAGAAUAUAUUCUUUGGCCUUUUUCGAAUUCAGCAACCAACGGACACCAUUCAUUCUUUGCUCCACCACAAAGAAAUCAAAACCCAAUCUCCUCUGUCUUUUUUUUUUAAAAAAGCAUGUUCGUAUUUAUAACUGCUCAACUGGGUCAAAGGGCUUGUAGUGCUGUUGCUGCUGCUGGUGGUGGUCCUUUAUUCUCCUUCUUCCUUGCCUUAGCUUUUCCUUUUUGUUAUGUGCUUGUUUAAAUUUGAAGGUUGAGAGAAAAGGAGGCUGGGAGGUAUGGAGCCUGCUGUUCUUAAUGGUGUGAUUAAUAGGUUGCUUGAAGUUAGAGGCCAACCAGGGAAACAAGUGCCGCUUUCUGAGACUGAGAUUCGGCAGCUUUGUAUCACCUCCAGGGAGAUUUUCUUGAGGCAGCCCAAUCUUUUGGAGCUCGAAGCUCCUAUCAAAAUCUGUGGAGAUAUACAUGGACAGUAUUCUGAUCUUCUGAAGCUUUUCGAAUAUGGUGGAUUACCUCCUCGUGCUAACUAUUUAUUCUUAGGGGAUUAUGUAGAUCGCGGGAAGCAAAGCCUGGAAACUAUAUGCCUUCUUCUUGCAUAUAAAAUAAAAUAUCCUGAAAACUUUUUCCUACUGAGGGGAAACCAUGAGUGUGCUUCUGUAAACCGUAUAUAUGGAUUUUAUGAUGAGUGCAAAAGAAGAUUCAAUGUCAGACUAUGGAAAAUAUUCACAGAUUGUUUCAACUGCUUGCCUGUGGCAGCUCUUAUUGAUGAAAAGAUUCUUUGUAUGCAUGGUGGACUUUCUCCUGAUCUGCACAAGUUGGACCAGAUAAGGAAUUUGCAACGACCUUGUGUUGUUCCUGAGUCUGGAUUGUUAUGUGAUCUCCUCUGGUCUGAUCCUAGUAAAGACAUUCAAGGUUGGGGAAUAAAUGAAAGGGGGGUUUCAUAUACCUUUGGUGCUGAUAGGGUUAUAGACUUUCUGCGAAAACAUGAUCUUGAUUUGAUUUGUCGAGCUCAUCAGGUCGUAGAAGAUGGAUACGAGUUCUUUGCAAAUAGACAACUUGUAACCAUAUUUUCAGCUCCUAAUUAUUGUGGAGAGUUUGACAAUGCUGGUGCCAUGAUGAGCGUGGAUGAGAAUUUAUUAUGCUCAUUCCAAAUAUUGAAACCAGUUGAUAAGAAGCCAAAGUUUGGUUUUGGAAGCAUGGUUACUGCUAAGCCUGGCAACAGUACAGCAAAAAUCAAGGUACAUCUUAUUCCUUCUGGCUUCAAAUGUAUGGAUUACCGACCACAUAAAGUUAAUUAGAGAGUGGCCCUUGCACGAAAUUUUGGCCUUAGUCCCUGAAAUAUAAUUCUGUUAACAGAUACGUUGCUUGUUAGUGUGUCAUCUAUAGAAACAGUUGUAUGAAAUUGGUCUCAAAACGUAGUUCGUUCUUCCUUCUGAAUUUUGGUCUUCAUUUGCUUCUGAAAGUAUGUCACAAGAGGUCCUCAAAUUGGCAUUUCAGAUGCAUUGCUGUGCUUAGUAUACAUGAACUGCCUUCUUCAUGCUGCAUUCUGUCAUUAUGCUUUUUCCUUUCACAGCAUCUGAUUCUUCACAGCUCCCACCUCACCACCAAACCAUGAGAGGAAAGUUACUGUCACUUUUAAAAGUGUAAGGAAUCUGAUCCAGCUGCCGUGGAAAGUGACUCGCAGAAUAUCACCACUGUACCAUCUUGUUUAGGUGAAGAUAAUACAGAGAAGUUCAUCGUCCAUGAAAAUUUUAGGAGGUUGUAAUCUCUAUGGGUUUUUUUUCAGUAUGGUUGCGUGUUGCAACUCUGUUAUCAUCUUACAAUAAUCACAGAGCAGAAAAUAUUUUAUUCCCUCA